UGAACUGCUGCAGUCGGCGCUAAGCGAGGAGGAGGAGCGACUGUUGCUGAUGCUGCUACACGAGAGGAACAUCAGGACGAACGAUGCAGGCGCCACUCGCACCGAGCCCCACGGGGCACACAAAAGACGACUCCGCCUCUGCGAAGAUCCUCCCGCAACCUUCUCACCAUGACACACACCCAAUGAACGGGAGUGAGCGAAGUAGUUGGGGCUCAAGGAUGCCUGCCUUGCUGGGACAGUUCUCGGUUAUUAAUGAAAGAAUAUGUUGACCACACAGUCAUGUAGUCACGAUUGUCCGUUUUUCUUUGGAGUGGAAUGGAAGAAGUCAAGGUACGUGAGUGAACUUUGUGAGGCGCGAGGUGAGAAGUAACGAAUAUUUUGAUCCUGAAUGCAACGAAUCGCGUUAUUACCACAUUUUUUUGAGUUUUUCAACAGUUGCUCUAAAAUCAGAAAAAUUUCUGCACGACAUUACACUUUAAAAUAUGGGUGAGUAUAGAAGCAUUCAGACAACGGUGUUACUAUUUAUGUUGUCCUUCUAUUGGGCUAAUAUUAUCACCUUCAGGUGUAACUGGAUAUUUAUGUGAACAAAGAUUGUUUUUAGUGCACAUUUGAAUUUAGAAUAAGAAAAAGAAAAAUUGGAUGAGGUGACCAGAUAUGAGAUAAAUUAACUAACAAGAGGGGACGAAAAAUUGCGCUUGGCUAUAAAAUUUUGCUGCCGGAAAUUAAGCAAGGUGAUUCUUGUGCUUCAUUUUUUGUGUAUCUCGAAUCUGGUAAUUAGCUUGCUUCGUCCCUAGGUUUAGUGUGGUGAUAAAAAGGAGAAACUUUUGAGCACCAUUAGCCGGAAGUUUUCAAUUGUAGUAUUGUAUUUGUAAAGGCUCGUUUUGCACAUUCAACUGUCAAAAAUUUAAUUAAAAAUAUAUAUUAUAUUUGUUUAUUUGUUUACAUUUAAACCAUAUAUUAGUUGAUACUUAAAACGCCAAUGAAUUUCUAAAAUCACAUACGCUUGUUAAGACUGAACCCUCAUAAUGAGUAUUUAUUUAUUUGACGUUCCCAGCUCAUGCGAUGCUGUCGUCUUGGCCGUGAGUGUUUUUUUCUUUUGUCCGUUUUUUGUCAGCUCCAGAGCAGUUGAGUUCAAACAAAGUUCUGGUAUCCUCAUCGUAGUAGAGUUGUACCAAAAGCUUGUUACUAUUUUUUUAGAAAAUUGAUCUUGUCAAAGUUUUUUCAUGUAUUUCGAGCAUUUUAUGAUUCUUUUGAAUGUACAGAUAAUUUUAGUAUACAUUUAAUUUGUUUA
rnacentral:lncRNA from 1 species